CCUUGUUUUGCCUUAAAUUUCAUGCAAUAUAUAGCUUAAUUUAUAGGCUAUCAAUGUUUUUUUACAGUUGACAAAUUGUAUUGUUAAUAGUAAUACUGCAACUUUGCUACACUGGUGAUGAGCCUCCCAAUUUUAUGCUGUAUACAUACAUUCAGUAUUAAGUAAUGUGUCAACAUCUGGGAAACUAACUUCUGAAUCUCUUACAUGCAGUUGACAUAAUUUUUAUAAAUUAUAGUGCUAGAUUCCAAGGUUUAAUUAGUCACCAUAGGCACAGGAGGAAAGUUUUGAAAUUUAGAAUUGAGGAGCACUUCAUGCACUUCAUGUCAACAGCACCAAAUUUAUAAUUUGUAAACUUUUGAAGAGAAAUUGGGCAAGGCAGAGGCAGUGCAAGGGUCAGGUAUUGGGGGGGGGGGGGCUGUAGCUCCCCUAUGUGGAAAUUCUAGCCCCUCCCCAAUUAGGGAAGUGGAAUGUACUGGGAAAAAUUAUGUUUUGUAAUGACCUUGUUUUCUAGUGUUACAGACAAUAAAUUAUGUUACAGACAAUAAAUUCCGCACCAUUUCAUGAGAGCCAAAAAAUUC